UGGUCCUUGGCCAUGCGGAUGGUGACCGGCUCGAAGUCGGUCAGGAACGUGGCACAGCACAGGUCGCGGCCGCAGGAGCCGA
rnacentral:tRNA from 1 species